UAACGUCAGUGGCAGACGGGUGAGUAACACGUGGAACGUACCUUUGGUUCGGAACAACACAGGGAAACUUGUGCUAAUACCGAAUAAGCCCUUACGGGGAAAGAUUUAUCGCCGAAAGAUCGGCCCGCGUCUGAUUAGCUAGUUGGUGAGGUAAUGGGCUCACCAAGGCGACGAUCAGUAGCUGGUCUGAGAGGAUGAUCAGCCACACUGGGACUGAGACACGGCCCAGACUCCUACGGGAGGCAGCAGUGGGGAAUAUUGGACAAUGGGCGCAAGCCUGAUCCAGCCAUGCCGCGUGAGUGAUGAAGGCCCUAGGGGUUGUAAAGCUCUUUUGUGCGGGAAGAUAAUGACGGUACCGCAAGAAUAAGCCCCGGCUAACUUCGUGCCAGCAGCCGCGGUAAUACGAAGGGGGCUAGCGUUGCUCGGAAUCACUGGGCGUAAAGGGUGCGUAGGCGGAUUUUUAAGUCAGGGGUGAAAUCCUGGAGCUCAACUCCAGAACUGCCCUUGAUACUGGGAAUCUUGAGUUCGGG
rnacentral:rRNA from 1 species